rnacentral:misc_RNA from 1 species
UACGUAGGGGGCAAGCGUUGUUCGGAUUUACUGGGCGUAAAGGGUGUGUAGGCGGUCUGAGUAAGUCGAAUGUGAAAGCUCACGGCUCAACCGUGGAAGUGCAUUCGAUACUGCUUGACUAGAGUUCGAGAGAGGAGAGCGGAAUUCUCGGUGUAGCGGUGAAAUGCGUAGAUAUCGAGAAGAACACCUGCGGCGAAAGCGGCUCUCUGGCUCGAAACUGACGCUGAGACACGAAAGCGUGGGGAGCGAACGGG